CCAGUGUUUAACUUUGUGUCUCUUAGUUUUGUUAUUUUUUCCAAGAGGGUGACUUCAACGUGAUGAGUUCCGAUGGAAUUUAGCAUAAGAAUUUGAAGCAAAAUAUAAAUAUAAAAUAUGAAAAACGAGAAAAAUAAAAGAAGCGGUAGCUUACCGAUUAGAAAUAGUCCUUAGUCCGGGUCGACGACAGAAAACCAAGAGGGCCAAAGAAUUGCUGGCCGUCGAUACCAGAAACAGAACAAGGAGCACCACCUCCUCAACGAGCCGGUGCUUCG